GAUGAACGCUGGCGGCGUGCCUAAUACAUGCAAGUCGAGCGAACGGACGAGAAGCUUGCUUCUCUGAUGUUAGCGGCGGACGGGUGAGUAACACGUGGAUAACCUACCUAUAAGACUGGGAUAACUUCGGGAAACCGGAGCUAAUACCGGAUAAUAGUUUGAACCGCAUGGUUCAAAAGUGAAAGACGGUCUUGCUGUCACUUAUUGAUGGAUCCGCGCUGCAUUAGCUAGUUGGUAAGGUAACGGCCUACCAAGGCAACGAUGCAUAGCCGACCUGAGAGGGUGAUCGGCCACACUGGAACUGAGACACGGUCCAGACUCCUACGGGAGGCAGCAGUAGGGAAUCUUCCGCAAUGGGCGAAAGCCUGACGGAGCCACGCCGCGUGAGUGAUGAAGGUCUUCGGAUCGUAAAACUCUGUUAUUAGGGAAGAACAUAUGUGUAAGUAACUGUGCACAUCUUGACGGUACCUAAUCAGAAAGCCACGGCUAACUACGUG
rnacentral:rRNA from 1 species